CGUGGUGUUCUUGGUGCUGUUAAUUUAUGAAGUCGAACAUAUUAUGAUCAAAGUCAUCUUGGAAAAGCUGGAAGAAAAGGGUUUUACCAGAUCGUACCUGACUGUUAAGAACAAAUUGGCUAACAUUGACCAGCAACCGCAAAAUCGAGUAGUUGUGAAACAGAAAUGGUCAGAUAUUGAGGAUAACACAUUGAUAUUGUGCAUUGCGGCAAUGGAUCAUCGGUGCCGUGGUCGUGGUCAUCAAUUUUUGAGCGUGUCACGACAAAAUUACAUGGACGCUCUCAACAUGCAAUAAAACUGCAUUACGAAUUGGUGUUGAAUCCGAAUAUUGAUCACACUGAGAUCAGUUCAAAAAAAUCGUUGACGAUCAUUGACAAGCACGGAACAAAAUAUCGCCUGUUUCAUAUGCCUCACAGAACUUGUGUACAAUUGAAACGUUGUCUGGUUACGCACAUUACCUCACUACACACAGAAAACAGUGUGCAGGUUGAGUUGUACGAGAAGCUAAAAUUUUACUGGGCAGAGGCAAGUGGAAAACAUUUCCAUGAUUUUCAUAACACUUUGGAACGUGAGCCCAAAGAUUUGGACGACUGGGCGCUCAUAAAAGAGUCUCGACCAUUGAAAGUACCAAAUUCCGGUUGUACGCCCUAUCUAACCCAAACGGCACUGUCGAAUACAGUUUCUCCAUCGUUGAUCGUGUCGUUGGCGCCGUUGGCGGGAUCAAGUUGCUACUUGACGGUAAGGUAUGCCGAUCGUUGUACAUAAUAAUUGUCGAAAAGGAUUUGCAUUCGAAGCCCACAGUCCCACUUGACAUUUUACAGUUCUGCAAGACAAAAUUUACUAAGCGAGCUUCAAUUUCCAAUAAAUUUAAAAACCACUGCUAUACAAAAUUGGCUAAGAGGUGUUAGCCACCACACAAAUUUAACAGAUUACCACACGAAAGAAACAACUUGACGCUCGAUCUGCGCUAGAGCUCUCGACUCAUAAUCCCGUGUUAAAAUCCGAAAUCCGUGGCUGGGCAAGAUGGUUUUUUCUUUCUCAUUCGCUUUCAAUGUAACACUCACUCAUAUGAUUUUCUAAUAGCUCGUCGCCAAUUACAAACUUCAAAAAAUAAAGAAGGCUUAUUUAUCCAACAAGAAACUAAUCCAACCAUGAACAUUGAACACGGAUAAGUCUCAUUCUUUAGUAAGUUCUGAAGAUGACAAAAAUUUAGUAUUCGAAAGCUAAGCAAAUAAAAACUGAAAAAUCACUGAACCACUUAUCCAAGUAUCUUAUUAA